rnacentral:rRNA from 1 species
GAUGAACGCUGGCGGCGUGCCUAAUACAUGCAAGUCGAGCGAACAGAUGAGGAGCUUGCUCCUCUGACGUUAGCGGCGGACGGGUGAGUAACACGUGGAUAACCUACCUAUAAGACUGGGAUAACUUCGGGAAACCGGAGCUAAUACCGGAUAAUAUAUUGAACCGCAUGGUUCAAUAGUGAAAGACGGUUUUGCUGUCACUUAUAGAUGGAUCCGCGCCGCAUUAGCUAGUUGGUAAGGUAACGGCUUACCAAGGCAACGAUGCGUAGCCGACCUGAGAGGGUGAUCGGCCACACUGGAACUGAGACACGGUCCAGACUCCUACGGGAGGCAGCAGUAGCGAAUCUUCCGCAAUGGGCGAACGCCUGACGGAGCAACGCCGCGUGAGUGAUGAAGGUCUUCGGAUCGUAAAACUCUGUUAUUAGGGAAGAACAAAUGUGUAAGUAACUAUGCACGUCUUGACGGUACCUAAUCAGAAAGCCACGGCUAACUACGUG